CACGUAGGGCGCAAGCGUUGUCCGGAAUUAUUGGGCGUAAAGAGCUCGUAGGCGGUCUGUUGCGUCCGCUGUGAAAACUCGGGGCUUAACCCCGAGCCUGCAGUGGAUACGGGCAGACUAGAGGUAGGUAGGGGAGAAUGGAAUUCCCGGUGUAGCGGUGAAAUGCGCAGAUAUCGGGAGGAACACCAGUGGCGAAGGCGGCAUCCUGGCCUUAACCUGACGCUCAGGGGCGAAAGCGUGGGGAGCAAACCGG
rnacentral:rRNA from 1 species